rnacentral:sRNA from 13 species
GUGAUGGCACAACUGAACAUUGAUCGCUAACGUUAGAAAGAAGCAGAUCUGCUCAGUGGGUGCUGUCACGUGGUCGCUUCAAGUAGCUUGUGUCGGCUCCCGAUUGCGCGUGUAAGUUCGUGGUGCGUUUUUCAUAAUUCACCUCGGAUUUGCACGCCUGCACGGUCGAGUCUUUCACGUCGCUCCUCGAACUAC